ACGGCUCAGUAACACGUGGAUAACCUACCCAAGAGUCUGGGAUAACCCCGGGAAACUGGGGAUAAUACCGGAUAGGUCAUUCGGGCUGGAAGGCUGUUUGGCUGAAACCUUUGGGGCUUUUGGAUGGGUCUGCGGCUGAUUAGGUUGUUGCCGGUGUAACGUACCGUCAAGCCUGUAAUCAGUACGGGUUGUGGGAGCAGGAGCCCGGAGAUGGAUUCUGAGACACGAAUCCAGGCCCUACGGGGCGCAGCAGGCGCGAAAACUUUACAAUGCAGGCAACUGCGAUAGGGGAACAUCGAGUGCUCAUCAUAUUGGUGGGCUGUCCAUCCGCCUAAAAAGCGGGUGUUAGCAAGGGCCGGGCAAGACCGGUGCCAGCCGCCGCGGUAAUACCGGCGGCUCGAGUGGUGGCCGAUAUUAUUGAGUCUAAAGGGUCCGUAGCCGGCUUUGCAAGUCUCUCGGGAAAUCCAGCGGCUUAACCGUUGGUCGGCCGGGGGGUACUACAUUGCUUGGGACUGGGAGAGGUAGGAGGUACUCAGGGGGUAGGAGUGAAAUCCUGUAAUCCUCUGGGGACCACCGGUGGCGAAGGCGUCCUACCAGAACAGGUCCGACGGUGAGGGACGAAAGCUAGGGGCACGAACCGGAUUAGAUACCCGGGUAGUCCUAGCCGUAAACGAUGCUCGCUAGGUGUCGCAACAGUCGUGAAUUGUUGCGGUGCCGUAGGGAAGCCGUGAAGCGAGCCACUUGGGAAGUACGACCGCAAGGUUGAAACUUAAAGGAAUUGGCGGGGGAGCAC
rnacentral:rRNA from 1 species